ensembl:lincRNA 9330178D15Rik RIKEN cDNA 9330178D15 gene
GCAUUCUCAAUAGAACUCUUCCUAUCAGUAACUUCUCUGCUGAGUUCUCAUCACUAGCAAAGAUCCUGCACUGCAUCCACCUUCUCUGGAGAAACACCGAGACUCAGCUCUGUCCCAAACUUCCUAUUGCUUGUGUUUGUCUAGAUGUUAUACACCGCUUCUGAAAACGAGUCUCCAGCACACUAAAUGCAUGGAAAAGUCAAACCCUGCAUCCUAUAAUACUGGCUUGCCAGGAAAGUUUUACCCACUGUUGCAAUAGUGUCACAACAGCUAUAACAUUUGAAGCAGUCUACAAUUCCACUCUUAAAUGAAAACAAGCCGAGAAAAUUGCAUACCCAGGCAGAGUUCUCUUUUAGAUAGGAAGAGAGUUGGAUUGCUACCACUAUAACCUGAAGAUGGAACGUGAUCUGGAUUGGUGGAUUGUCAAAAGUCACCGGAGCUAAAUAACUACCACUGGGAUUGGGGUGUGAACAACCUGGAGCCGAGAAUAUGAAGUAAACAAGCCGCCUGGGGGUCGGAAGCUGCACAGUAAUAAAGGUGUUUGUGUGCAACGCUGCAGGGUACUCCAGAGCCCGCAGGAAGCUGCCGGCUAGAUUAUGCCCCGCAAGUAGAAACAAGUCUAUUGUGACUGGAAAAAAAAAAAGCCAAAAAACUUAUUUUAAACAUUCAAAGUCAGAUUUAUAAAGAAAGCAAGGUAACUCAUUGUACUUAUGACGCUUAUCAAAGGCAGCCAGAAAAUGUUUUGAUAUAAAUAAUAAUUUUAAGACUCAAAGAGUACAGAUUCCCAACAAUGCAGCCUGUCUGGGAUACAAAGUCUGUCUGCAGCACAGUUUUUAUCACUAAAGCCCUAAUAUUUCUCACCUGUGAGAAAAAUAUUCAGGUGUUAAUUCUUCAUAUGGCCCCUGGCUAAAAGAGAAGGGUUUGCUCACUCAUGUCUCCUGUCUAGGGAUGUUUGAGGCACUUUUAUCAUAUGAGAUAGAUAUUAUUGGCAUUUCAUUUUAUUACCAUAAUUUUAGGGAUGAAGGAAUAUGGCAUUUUGUUUUUUCUUGGCCCAUAUAUUUCUAAAUCAACAAGGGUGAAAUUCUCUUCAUGAAAUGAAUUCUUUCCCCCUGUCUCAGAGAUCAGCUGGUAAACAAGCCACAUCUUUUUGAGGAAAUAACCUCUGGGCUCAGAUUGAGAGAGAUGCCUGCCUCUAACCAUAGAAGGCAAGGAUAGAAUUUCACAUGCACUGUCAUGCAUUUCUGGGGUGAUGUGUCAGUCAAGGAAAUGCAGAUGGACCUGAGACUAAAAUGGAGAAAUCAGAAAUUAAUUUUAAUGCAGAAAAUUAUCAUUGUUUGUAUCUCACCUAACUCAAGGAAGUCUAAAGUAGAAAACGAACACCUGUCUUCAGUCGUUGUCCACUCAUGGUGUGAAAGGCAAAGGCUGCUCCCCACAGCGUUACGUGGAGUUGAGACUCUUGCUGCACAGAUCAUCCUGGUGGAUGAGAUGUGGCUGGGCCACACUCGUGGCAUGUUUGGAGCCUUAUGAACUGUGUUGAGCCAUCUCAGCUGCACAUACUUCACAGGAUGUUUUUCAGAGCAUUUGAUGAUUCUAAUGAGCCCUUGAAUAUAUUUAGUGGCUCAUUAAAUGAUAUUAAAUGAGAUAGUCUGUUAAGGGAUAAGAGCUGUUAACUGCAACAUCUUAAUGAUCACUUUACACAAAUUGCUGACCUCCUAUAAUCACAUGGAAAUUAUUUCACUAUUUCCAAAUUUUAAAAGUAAUAAUUAGAUUGUAGCAAACUCAUGUCCAUAAUGUCCUAAUAGUAAAGCUGUAAACCUGGGUGCAGAAAUGCUCACCUACUCCGCAGUAAAUGCUAUUAUUUAAUUCAUGCCUUCUGCUCUUUCAUCAGGCUGUGGUCUGUUUUCUGCGGGAUUAGGUUCUAGACCACGUUCAGUAUAUUGGAGAUUUGGGUGCAGGUUGGAUCCUAAUAGAGGAGCCAAGGAUUACCAGAUUAAUUGAUCAUUUUUCACUCUAGCAUUCCAGGUGUCUGGGAGUCAUUCAUUUUUUGCUUUGAAUAAAACAGGCCACCUCAAUGGACAAUCUAGGUUCACUGAUGCUUAUCCUAAGCUGUGCUUUCUACAGUGAGUUUUUUUUUUUUUUGUAGAAUGCCAGAUCAUAUGAACAAACAAAACAACAGCCGGUAUAUUUCCAGUCUCAUUAAUAUAUUAAAGUUCUGGAAUAACUUACGUCAUUACAAUUCCUAUUUAGGUACAGACUGUCAAUUACUGCUUAUUUGGUUAUAUAGAUUUUAUUCUUAUUUUUUUUAAAAUCAUUUAUUUUGUAUAUGUGAUUACAUUGUCCCUGUCAUCAGACACACCAGAAGAUGACAACAAAUCCCAUUACAGAUGGUUUUGAGCCACCAUGUAGUUGUUGGAAAUUGAACUCAGGACCUCUGGUAGAUCGGUACUCUGAGCCACGGUGCCAUCUUUCCAGUCCCAUAGAUGUAGUUUUGGUUGAGGUACUUCACUUUUAAUGUAGAAAUUUGGUUUGGUACUUCACUUUUAAUGUAGAAAUUUAAAGGAACAUAAAUAUCUCUAUCACCUUGAAUAACUCAUUUAUUCAAAGGAGAAAGUGGUUUUUAUUUUAUUUAAUCCUCCAUUGACAUUUACACUGUAUUCUUAUUGAAUAUUGUCUAAUGUUUUUAUUUUAAUAACCUGAAAUGUUAAAUAUUCUCAAGAAUAAAAUAUCUUAAAAUUUUAAUAACAAUGAAUAAUAGCAUGGUGGAUUUAUGCAGUUAUGGCAUAAGCUCAUGGACCACAGGACUGCCUGGAGCUUAUUGCUGUCUCCACCAGAGAAUCCUAGUGUGAGGAAAGAGGAUUUUCUUAAAUAUUUCAUGCUUUAACUUCAUUAACUGUAAAGUGGAGAUAACAGCUCAAUAGCACUGUUAGAACAAAUAUGAACACCUAGACAGAGCAUACUUAGAAAAAUGUUUCCCAUUUUGUAAAUGUUAUUUAAGCAAAAUUAUAGUAUGAGUUUGUAGUAAUACACAAUGUCCCAUGCCCAAACUUUCUUAUGGAAACAUUUAAGUUGCUUGUAGUUUUCCAUGAAUCUUUGUUGUUUUUUUAUAAUACAUUCACAUAGAAGAACAUGUUAUUAACAUGUGAAUAUUUAAUGAGUUUUGGAGUAUUUGAUCAAAUUAUCUUCUAAGACCUAUAUAUCUUAUUAUCAGUCUAUGUUUCAAUUAUCUAUUUUUAAAUCUGUUAUCUAUACAUCUAUACAUAUUUUUACAAGUAUCUAGCUAUGUAUCAUCUACCAUCUAUUAUCUCUGUAUUACAACUUAUUACUUAUGCAUCAUAUAUCUACAUUAUUCUUAUCAUCUGUCUGUCUACAUAUUUACUAAUAUUAUGUAAUCAUAAUAUGAAGACUUAUAUCACAGGCAUGUGUAUGAAUUCAUUAUGUAUAAAUAAAGUAUGUGCUGGAC